GUUGUUUUGACAAUGUUGAGGAAGUGGCACAUUGAAAAUUAUUGUCUCAAUAACUAGCCAUUACAAAAAUAAUUUGCCGUAAUGAAAAGGCAAGGAAAACUUGAUAGAAUGCAUGCAUAUGGUUUGAAGCAGAGGCAGUUGUUCCAUCUUGUUCGAAAAAAGAUGGAUGGUUAUUUUGGUCAACUUGUGUUUAUGCAAUGAAAGCUACCUAUAAUAAUUUUUCAAUCAUUGACUCAUGCAAAAAACUUAGACUUAAAAGAGUAAAAGUAACUGGAUGUCAUUAAAUUUUA